rnacentral:rRNA from 1 species
UAUGUAGGCAGCAAGCGUUGUUCGGAGUUACUGGGCGUAAAGGGUGCGUAGGCGGCUCUAUAAGUAUGGUGUGAAAUCUCCCGGCUUAACUGGGAGGGUGCGCUAUAGACUGUGGGGCUAGAGUGCGGGAGAGGAAAGUGGAAUUCCUGGUGUAGCGGUGAAAUGCGUAGAUAUCAGGAGGAACACCGGUGGUGUAAACGGCUUUCUGGACCGUAACUGACGCUGAUGCACGAAAGCGUGGGUAGCAAACAGG